AUCGCUUCUCGGCCUUUUGGCUAAGAUCAAGUGUAGUAUCUGUUCUUAUCAGUUUAAAAAUCCAUGUAAGAAAGUCAACACUGCCAAAAGCUUUACUGGCUAUUCUGCCAACACCU
rnacentral:snRNA from 1 species